AAAAGCAGGGGAUCGCAAGACCUUGCGCUAAAGGAGCGGCCGAUGUCUGAUUAGCUAGUUGGUGGGGUAAAGGCUUACCAAGGCAACGAUCAGUAGUUGGUCUGAGAGGACGGCCAACCACACUGGGACUGAGACACGGCCCAGACUCCUACGGGAGGCAGCAGUGGGGAAUUUUGGACAAUGGGCGAAAGCCUGAUCCAGCCAUGCCGCGUGAGUGAAGAAGGCCUUCGGGUUGUAAAGCUCUUUUAGUCGGAAAGAAAGAGUUGCAAUGAAUAAUUGUGAUUUAUGACGGUACCGACAGAAAAAG
rnacentral:rRNA from 1 species